rnacentral:lncRNA from 1 species
UGGUAUCGGGACUAACAAGAAUGGUUGGGACAACAAACAUCCAUCUCGUUCGUACUUUGGAUACCCCGGACGACUCACCAAAGCACGAAAGCCAGGUCAGAAAAUGGAUUCCUAUUCGAAGUGUGCAUAACCGCAUGGAUAAGCUCCGGCCUCCUCCAUUUUUAUAGUACUUUCGAUCCCAUAAGAGGAACUCCUUUGCUUUGGCAUACAAUGGUUAAUUGGAAGAAAGCGAUUCUGCUCAACUCAGA